rnacentral:sRNA from 12 species
CGCGCUCCACACAGAUAAAUUAAUCUGAGCAUGAGGCCAUCCAACGGAGGAUGUAACACCAGUAGUUAAGUUGCUUGGGAUAUAGCAAACGUUGACUACAUCCAUGGUGU